ACGGAAGGCAGCAGUGGGGAAUAUUGGGCAAUGGGCGAAAGCCUGACCCAGCAACGCCGCGUGAAGGAAGAAGGUCUUCGGAUUGUAAACUUCUUUUAUGAGGGACGAAGGACGUGACGGUACCUCAUGAAUAAGCCACGGCUGACUACGUGCCAGCAGCCGCGGUAAUACGUAGGUGGCAAGCGUUAUCCGGAUUUACUGGGUGUAAAGGGCGCGUAGGCGGGAGAGCAAGUCAGAUGUGAAAUCCAUGGGCUUAACCCAUGAACUGCAUUUGAAACUGUUUUUCUUGAGUGCUGGAGAGGUAGACGGAAUUCCUUGUGUAGCGGUGAAAUGCGUAGAUAUAAGGAAGAACACCAGUGGCGAAGGCGGUCUGCUGGACAGUAACUGACGCUGAGGCGCGAAAGCGUGGGGAGCAAACAGGAUUAGAUACCCUGGUA
rnacentral:rRNA from 1 species